rnacentral:rRNA from 1 species
GGGUUGUGAGGUUAAGCGACUAAGCGUACACGGUGGAUGCCCUGGCAGUCAGAGGCGAUGAAGGACGUGCUAAUCUGCGAAAAGCGCCGGCGAGGUGAUAUGAACCCUUGACCCGGCGAUGUCCGAAUGGGGAAACCCAGUGUGAUUCGUCACACUAUCGUUAGCUGAAUACAUAGGUUAACGAGGCGAACCGGGGGAACUGAAACAUCUAAGUACCCCGAGGAAAAGAAAUCAACCGAGAUUCCCCCAGUAGCGGCGAGCGAACGGGGAGCAGCCCGGAGUCUGAAUCAGCUUGUGUGUUAGUGGAAGCGUCUGGAAAGUCGCAGGGUACAGGGUGAUACUCCCGUACACGAAAGCACACUUGCUGUGAACUCGAAGAGUAGGGCGGGACACGUGGUAUCCUGUCUGAAUAUGGGGGGACCAUCCUCCAAGGCUAAAUACUCCUGACUGACCGAUAGUGAAUCAGUACCGUGAGGGAAAGGCGAAAAGAACCCCGGCGAGGGGAGUGAAAAAGAACCUGAAACCGUGUACGUACAAGCAGUGGGAGCACCUUCGGGUGUGACUGCGUACCUUUUGUAUAAUGGGUCAGCGACUUAUAUUCUGUAGCAAGGUUAACCGUAUAGGGGAGCCGAAGGGAAACCGAGUCUUAACUGGGCGUUAAGUUGCAGGGUAUAGACCCGAAACCCGGUGAUCUAGCCAUGGGCAGGUUGAAGGUUGGGUAACACUAACUGGAGGACCGAACCGACUAAUGUUGAAAAAUUAGCGGAUGACCUGUGGCUGGGGGUGAAAGGCCAAUCAAACCGGGAGAUAGCUGGUUCUCCCCGAAAGCUAUUUAGGUAGCGCCUCGUGAACUCAUCUCCGGGGGUAGAGCACUGUUUCGGCUAGGGGGCCAUCCCGGCUUACCAACCCGAUGCAAACUGCGAAUACCGGAGAAUGUUAUCACGGGAGACACACGGCGGGUGCUAACGUCCGUCGUGAAGAGGGAAACAACCCAGACCGCCAGCUAAGGUCCCAAAGUCAUGGUUAAGUGGGAAACGAUGUGGGAAGGCACAGACAGCCAGGAUGUUGGCUUAGAAGCAGCCAUCAUUUAAAGAAAGCGUAAUAGCUCACUGGUCGAGUCGGCCUGCGCGGAAGAUGUAACGGGGCUAAACCAUGCACCGAAGCUGCGGCAGCGACACUAUGUGUUGUUGGGUAGGGGAGCGUUCUGUAAGCCUGCGAAGGUGUGCUGUGAGGCAUGCUGGAGGUAUCAGAAGUGCGAAUGCUGACAUAAGUAACGAUAAAGCGGGUGAAAAGCCCGCUCGCCGGAAGACCAAGGGUUCCUGUCCAACGUUAAUCGGGGCAGGGUGAGUCGACCCCUAAGGCGAGGCCGAAAGGCGUAGUCGAUGGGAAACAGGUUAAUAUUCCUGUACUCGGUGUUACUGCGAAGGGGGGACGGAGAAGGCUAUGUUGGCCGGGCGACGGUUGUCCCGGUUUAAGCAUGUAGGCGGAGGUUCCAGGUAAAUCCGGUACCUUUUAACGCUGAGGUGUGAUGACGAGGCACUACGGUGCUGAAGCAACAAAUGCCCUGCUUCCAGGAAAAGCCUCUAAGCAUCAGGUAACAUCAAAUCGUACCCCAAACCGACACAGGUGGUCAGGUAGAGAAUACCAAGGCGCUUGAGAGAACUCGGGUGAAGGAACUAGGCAAAAUGGUGCCGUAACUUCGGGAGAAGGCACGCUGAUAUGUAGGUGAAGCCCCUGCGGGUGGAGCUGAAAUCAGUCGAAGAUACCAGCUGGCUGCAACUGUUUAUUAAAAACACAGCACUGUGCAAACACGAAAGUGGACGUAUACGGUGUGACGCCUGCCCGGUGCCGGAAGGUUAAUUGAUGGGGUUAGCGGCAACGCGAAGCUCUUGAUCGAAGCCCCGGUAAACGGCGGCCGUAACUAUAACGGUCCUAAGGUAGCGAAAUUCCUUGUCGGGUAAGUUCCGACCUGCACGAAUGGCGUAAUGAUGGCCAGGCUGUCUCCACCCGAGACUCAGUGAAAUUGAAAUCGCUGUGAAGAUGCAGUGUACCCGCGGCAAGACGGAAAGACCCCGUGAACCUUUACUAUAGCUUGACACUGAACACUGGUCCUUGAUGUGUAGGAUAGGUGGGAGGCUUUGAAGUGUGGACGCCAGUCUGCAUGGAGCCGUCCUUGAAAUACCACCCUUUAAUGGCUGGUGUUCUAACGUGGACCCGUUACCCGGGUUGCGGACAGUGUCUGGUGGGUAGUUUGACUGGGGCGGUCUCCUCCUAAAGAGUAACGGAGGAGCACGAAGGUCAGCUAAUCCUGGUCGGACAUCAGGAGGUUAGUGCAAUGGCAUAAGCUGGCUUGACUGCGAGAGUGACGGCUCGAGCAGGUGCGAAAGCAGGUCAUAGUGAUCCGGUGGUUCUGAAUGGAAGGGCCAUCGCUCAACGGAUAAAAGGUACUCCGGGGAUAACAGGCUGAUACCGCCCAAGAGUUCAUAUCGACGGCGGUGUUUGGCACCUCGAUGUCGGCUCAUCACAUCCUGGGGCUGAAGUAGGUCCCAAGGGUAUGGCUGUUCGCCAUUUAAAGUGGUACGCGAGCUGGGUUUAGAACGUCGUGAGACAGUUCGGUCCCUAUCUGCCGUGGGCGCUGGAGAAUUGAGGGGGCUGCUCCUAGUACGAGAGGACCGGAGUGGACGCAUCACUGGUGUUCGGGUUGUCAUGCCAAUGGCACUGCCCGGUAGCUAAAUGUGGAAGAGAUAAGUGCUGAAAGCAUCUAAGCACGAAACUUGCCCCGAGAUGAGUUCUCCCUGACCCUUCGAGGGUCCUGAAGGAACGUUGAAGACGACGACGUUGAUAGGCCGGGUGUGUAAGCGCAGCGAUGCGUUGAGCUAACCGGUACUAAUGAACCGUGAGGCUUAACCUUACAACGCCGAAGCUGUU